CAGUGGAAGAAGAAAUGGCAGAGAUUGACAAUGGCUAUGGCAUGAGCAAAGCUUGCCUUGCUGGCAACAGUAGCCCCAUAGCUAUAUCCCCUCCUAUCGGCCUCCUCCUACACCAGGGUUAUCUUGGUGGGCCUAUGUAGAAGAUAAGGCCCAGAGAAAAAGGGCUAUCCUGAGUCUGAAGUUUGGUCUCAGGCACAGCAUUGCCACUAACUGGGACAUAAUGGAGAUGAUCAGGAACCACACCUCCUACAUGGGCUGUGUAUGACUCCUGAGGAACACCUGGCACUUCUGACUGAGGCUCCCCGGAACCCCUAGGCUUACAGACUGAAGAUGAUCCUGGGACUGUUUGAAGCCUUUAACACCCAUCCACGUAUGUGCCAUUCAGGCAGUGCUGUCUCUGUAUGCCCUUGGUACCCCUAGGAUCUAUGCAUGUGACCACAUUUGUGUUCUCAUGCAUGCACGCAUGUGCACUCGUCAUGGAUUCUGGUAACGGGGUCACACAUACAGUGUCCAUCUACGAGAGCUAUGUCUUUCCCAAAGCCACCUUGCAUCUGGACCUGGCUGGCUUGGACCUGGCGGACUACAUCAUGAAAAUUCUGCCUGAGCAGGGUUACAGCUUCACCACCAUAGCUGAGUCAGGGAGUGUGUGAAACAUUAAGGAGAAGUAACUAUGCCAUGUUGCAUUAGAUUUUGAGCAAGAUAUGGCCACUGCUACAUCCUCUUUCUCCUUGGAGAA
rnacentral:lncRNA from 1 species